rnacentral:rRNA from 1 species
CGAAGGAAUUUUCGGCAAUGGGGGCAACCCUGACCGAGCGACGCCGCGUGGAGGAUGACGGCCUUCGGGUUGUAAACGUCCUUUUGCGGGGGUAUGACAUCGACCGUACCCCGCGAAUCAGGCUCGGCUAACUCUGUGCCAGCAGCCGCGGUAAGACAGAGGAGCCAAGCGUUGUCCGGAUUGACUGGGCGUAAAGCGCACGCAGGCGGCCGUGCACGUGGGGGGUGUGAAAGCUGGUGGCUUAACUGCCAGAUGUCACCUCAUACGGCGCGGCUCGAGCCCUGCAGAGGUCCAUGGAAUUGCCGGUGUAGUGGUGAAAUGCGUAGAGAUCGGCAGGAACACCCAGGGGGAAACCAGUGGACUGGGCAGGAGCUGACGCUCAGGU